rnacentral:rRNA from 1 species
CCUACGGGAGGCAGCAGUGGGGAAUAUUGCACAAUGGGCGCAAGCCUGAUGCAGCAACGCCGCGUGAGGGACGACGGCCUUCGGGUUGUAAACCUCUUUUAGUAGGGAAGAAGCGAAAGUGACGGUACCUGCAGAAAAAGCACCGGCUAACUACGUGCCAGCAGCCGCGGUAAUACGUAGGGUGCAAGCGUUAUCCGGAAUUAUUGGGCGUAAAGAGCUCGUAGGCGGUUUGUCGCGUCUGCUGUGAAAACCUGGAGGCUCAACCUCCAGCCUGCAGUGGGUACGGGCAGACUAGAGUGCGGUAGGGGAGAUUGGAAUUCCUGGUGUAGCGGUGGAAUGCGCAGAUAUCAGGAGGAACACCGAUGGCGAAGGCAGAUCUCUGGGCCGUAACUGACGCUGAGGAGCGAAAGCAUGGGGAGCGAACAGGAUUAGAUACCCUGGUAGUCCAUGCCGUAAACGUUGGGAACUAGAUGUAGGGACCAUUCCACGGUUUCUGUGUCGCNGCUACGACAUACGUUACCCGUCCGUCGGGAGGUACGGCCGCGACGGACGUAAACGUUAAACGGUAAAGUUAGACGGCGUGAGACGUGCCGACGGACGACGACGAGGGAGGUAGG